rnacentral:lncRNA from 1 species
GCCUCCCAAUGGCCAAAUACCACCUCAAAUAGUGUCAAAUACAUCAAAUAGUCUGGCUAGAUCGUCACACCAAUUAAAAUAUUACAAUCUCAUAAAAAGCAAACCAUUACGACGUUACAAAGUUCAUAACCAACAUGACUGGAGGAAAAACAACAAAUUACAACACCAGAAUGUUUUGCAUCACUAAACCCUAAAUUAACAUAAACUGAGCAUCACCAAUCUGUCAACAUAAGCCGAGCAUCACCAAAAUGAAUUGAAAGGCCACAAACUAAAUGUACUGCAUCACCUAACUGCAAACAAAAAAAAAAAAAAAAAAAAAUUAUUUUUGUAGCAUAAUGACCUUCUCCAUUCUCCAAUCAGUAAAUGUCGAAGAAUAAAACAUAAUCACCUGGAUAACAUAGCAUAUUAUAUAUAUAACUGAAAAAAAAGCAUCAACAUAUGAAAAAGAGAGCAUCAACUAACUAGUCUACACAAUCUUCUUCUUAAUAUCAUUUGCGUGCAAUAAGAUGAUAGUAAGCCUUUUAUUUCACAUGGAUCAUAUGAAAAAAAUGAACUUAAGUUGAAGAUCUUACCAAUUACCAAUUACCAAUAAGCCAACACAAUAAUCCAACAUUCCAACAAGCCAACAACAUAACCUGAAAUCAAAUUCAAACACACACG